rnacentral:rRNA from 1 species
AGCAGUAGCCGCGGUAAUGCGUAUGUCACAAGCGUUAUCCGGAUUUAUUGGGCGUAAAGCGCGUCUAGGUGGUUAUGUAAGUCUGAUGUGAAAAUGCAGGGCUCAACUCUGUAUUGCGUUGGGAACUGUGUAACUAGAGUACUGGAGAGGUAAGCGGAACUACAAGUGUAGAGGUGAAAUUCGUAGAUAUUUGUAGGAAUGCCGAUGGGGAAGCCAGCUUACUGGACAGAUACUGACGCUGAAGCGCGAAAGCGUGGGUAGCAAACAGGAUUAGAUACCCCGGUAGUCCCUGUCUCUUAUACC